GGGACCCCAGCACGCACGGGAAGGGUCGUGGGGUCGCUCACAAGGGGCUCAGGGCAUCCGAAGCUUGGGACCUGUGAGGAAUUGACCAUGGCUGGAUGCCGGGUGCUUAUCACAGGCACUGUAUCACUGCACUCGUCAGCUGGACUGGGGAGAGAAAAUAUAACUACAGGCUCGUGGGACGAGGAACUUUCAGCACUGAUAUGUGACUUUGGAGGAGUCUUUGUCUAGUCAUGUUUUCAUUUUCAUUCCUUGAUGAUUUGCUGCUAAGCCAUUCCAAACCCAAAGCCUAACCAGUUACUUUGAUGAUGCAAAGCCUGAUCCUGCAUAUGGAAAAACUCCACAGACAUCACUGAGAAGUACAACAUGACGAAGGUUGAGUAGUGUUGCCAGAAGCUUGAAGACCUCCCCCAGGGAACACAUCUGGUUUUGUCUGCUUUGGAGAUAAACCAGUCCAGGAGAUAGCCCCAUGUACUGAGGACCACACAGACUCCUUGGCACUGUAUACACAACUUGAAGAACUGUGUUUUAACUGCUCUGUGGAAACCACUGUAAGUUCUCAUGUUGCUGAUACUCAGGAAUCAAAAAUAAAAUCCUGUCUGUUAGUAAUGAAGCUCUUGCAAAAUAAAAAAAAUAUUUUGCUUAAUGAAGGUUAAAUAUUUGCCAUUUCUAACAGCAGUAAAUGUUUUCACCCCAAGCUUCCUAACUGGCUUCCUCUUCUACUCUGAGUCACUUUGUUUUGUCACACUUCAGAAAUAUUUAAGCCUAGAAAAGUCUUUGAAGUUAUUUGUCAACUGUCUUACAAAUGCAGUUUAAAAGGGACUGCAACACAUGGUUGUGUUUUCAACUACAGCUAUCAAUCCAGACAUUCUCUCAACCAGGGAAACCUUGUGGAGUUUUUCAUCUUAAGAAAAUAUGAUCAGCUUCAAAGAGUAGCAGGAUGCUAUGUGGUACAAAAAUGACACUAAGAAUGACUUUGAAGUCUCUUCUUCGUAAGUAGUCCCCAUGGUUUCAAUGCAAGUUUUUGCCAAGUAAGAAUCUAAAUCCUGUAUGAAAGAGAGUGAUAUAAGUUCUGUUUUGUAUAAAUUGCACCCUGUAUUUCAGCAUAAAGUUUAAAUGCCUGUAAUUUGAUUACCUAGUGUUUCAUGUUCAGGAAUAUGAUCUUUCUGCUUGGAAGGAUAAAAUUCUGAAAUAUGAAAAGAGAUAAAAAAGUGGGUUGAAAGCUUAUGCCUGUCUUGUUUGAAUGAACAGCUUCUGGUCAGACAAACUCACAUUACUGC